AUGAUUCGGUGGAAGGUUAAUAAGAAGAGGCGGCAACCGCCUCCGCGUGAUGACAGGGUCACUUCUGUGCGUGCGAUUACCGUGCAACGCCCGCCCGUCAGUGGCCAGCUCUUGCUGGAGCGCGCGUGCUGCACGGUCGUCGCUCUAGCAACCUCUGCGCUGUGCCACUGGGCGUGGAGCUACUUCCAGUCCCGCAAGUGCCUGCGCACCUACGGCCGGGACAUGACCGGCGAGGGCGACCCGGUCAUCGGCCGCGACGACGAGAUCGACCGCGUCGUCGACAUCCUCUGCCGCAGGACCAAGAACUGCGCGGCGCUCGUCGGCGCCGCCGGGGUCGGCAAGACCGCCGUCGCCGAGGGCCUCGCGCAGCGCAUCGCGUCCGGGGCCGUCCCCGACGCGCUCGUCGGGGCACGCGUGGUGGAGGUCGACCUCGCGGCCAUGGUGGCCGGCACGCGGUACCGUGGCAUGUUCGAGGAGCGCAUGAAGAACGUGAUCAAGCGGGCAGAGGCGUCCAACGGCAAGAUCAUACUGUUCGUGGACGAGAUGCACAUGCUCUACUCCGCCGGCAGCAGCCGGACCAACUGCACCAGCGCCUCCAACAUGCUCAAGCCGGCGCUGGCCCGCGGCCGCAUCCGCUGCGUGGGGGCCACCACCUUUGACGAGUACCGCCAGUACGUGGAGAAGGACCCUGCGCUCGAGCGACGGUUUCAGAAAGUGCACGUCGGGGAGCCGAGCAUUGAGGCCACCAUUGCCAUCUUGCGGGGGCUAAAGCAACGAUUCCAAGACCACCAUGGACACGAAAUUCAGGAUGCCGCUCUCGUCGCUGCUGCGCACCUCGGCGCCCGCUACAUCACCGGUCGUCAAUUUCCAGAUAAGGCAAUUGAUCUGAUCGAUGAGGCAUGUACUUUCAUAGCCAGAAAGAUGAAGCAGAUUGACAACCAACUACUAGUAGAUGACAACACUACUCCCAAUAGCUUAAACGAUGCAAAUAAAAAGGUGGUUGUCAACCCGAAAAGUAGCUCCACAAAUAGAGUGAAGAAAGCAAUUGUUGAUCCAAAUGAUGUCGCGCAGGUUGUGAGUCGAUGGACUGGAAUUCCUGUUGCUACGCUUUGUGAAGAGGAGAAGGACAAAUUAAUCCACAUUGGAGAUAGAUUGCAUGAGCGUGUUAUUGGUCAAGAUGAAGCGGUCAAUUUGGUUGCGCAAGCUGUGUUACGCUCUAGGGCCGGCCUUGAUCAACCUAGCCAACCGACAGGUUCUUUCCUCUUUUUAGGCCCGUCUGGUGUUGGAAAGACGGAGCUUGCAAAAGCUCUUGCCGAGCAACUAUUUGACAGUGAAAAGAUGCUUGUUCGGGUUGACAUGUCUGAAUAUGCUACUGCUGGGUCUGUAACACGUCUCAUUGGAGCACCUCCAAGCUAUAUUGGAUAUGAAGAUAGCGGACAAUUGACUGAAAAAGUGAGAAGGCAUCCAUAUAGCCUUAUCCUUUUUGAUGAGGUCGAGAAGGCACAUCCCUCGGUGUUUAAUAUUUUUCUUCAAAUUCUUGAUGAUGGCAUGUUGACUGAUGGCAAAGGUAGAACUGUUGACUUUAAGAAUACUAUCAUCAUCAUGACCUCAAAUCUUGGAUCAGAAUACCUUACAACAAAAAUGACUGGAGAAAAGCCAUUAGAAGUUGCAAGGAACCUUGUCAUGGAAAAGGUUCAGAAGUUCUUCAAGCCCGAACUUCUCAACAGGAUUAGUGAGAUUGUGAUAUUUGAGUCACUUUCCUAUGAACAAAUGAAAGAGGUUGCAAAAAUUCAGAUUAAGAACGUUGUAGCUAGAGUAGCCAAUAAGGGCAUCUCUCUGUCUACAACCGAUGCCUUGUUGGACGUCAUAAUGUCGGAGUCACACAAUCCGAUGUAUGGUGCAAGACCCAUAAGAAGGUGGGUGGAAAGAAAUGUGAUAACAAUGCUCUCUGAGAUGCUAGUAAAAGGUGAGGCUGGUGAAGGUUCAACAAUCUUCAUCGAUGCGACAGAUGACAAGAAGGGGUUGAAAUAUGAAGUGGUGAAGAUGCCGGUCCUAGACUUUUCUAGUGUGUGA
rnacentral:rRNA from 1 species